rfam:Ochrobactrum anthropi ATCC 49188 chromosome 2, complete sequence.
UGUCUGUCUGCGGGAGAGCGCCAAUUGGCCGCCGAAGGGGAAAUCGCCCGAAAUCUCUCAGGUACAAGGAACCGCAGACGGGUA